GUACACGCUGUGACUAGCAUAUCAAUAAGCGGAGGAAAAGAAACUAACAAGGAUUCCCCUAGUAACGGCGAGUGAAGCGGGAAGAGCUCAAAUUUGAAAUCUUAAAGGGUUUCCCUUUACGAAUUGUAGUUUAAAGAAGUGUUUUCUGUUGAGGUUUUGGUAAAAGUUCUUUGGAAUAGGACAUCAUAGAGGGCGAGAAUCCCGUAUUUGACCUUUACUUUCAACUUUGUGAUACACUUUCAAAGAGUCGGAUUGUUUGGGAAUGCAGUCCAAAAUGGGUGGUAAAUUUCAUCUAAGGCUAAAUAUUGGCGAGAGACCGAUAGCGAACAAGUACCGUGAGGGAAAGAUGAAAAGAACUUUGAAAAGAGAGUUAAACAGUACGUGAAAUUGUCAAAAGGGAAGCGUUUGACACCAGUGUUGUUUUUCUGAAAAUCAAUUAAAGAACUGUUUAUGCUAAGUUGUUUAGACUUUAUCAGCUAUCUGUUUAGUUUUGAGCUUUUCUUUAAUGCACUUUUCAGUUAACAAGUCAACAUCAAUUUCUUUUGCUGUAAAAAAGCUUGAGGAAGGUGGCUUGAGAUUCGUCUUAAGUGUUUAUAGCCUCUUGCCUAUGCAGUCGGAGAGAUUGAGGUCUGCAGCAUAGAUCCUUCGAGGCUAAAUGCAUUUGUGCUAAGUUAUAGCAUUUUCAUAGACAACUUGUUGACUAUGAUUUGUCUUGUAGCUUACUCGCUUAUGUUAUUUUACCUACGCUUAGGAUGUUGACGAGACUGUCGAUCUC
rnacentral:rRNA from 1 species